rnacentral:tRNA from 1 species
GCCUGGCUGGCUCAGUCGGUACAGCAUGUGACCCUUAAUCUCAAGGUCAUGAGUUCAAGCCCCAGGCUGGGCG